GCUCGGGUGGUGAAACUGGUAUACACGCAGCGCUCAGAACGCUGUGGUCGAAAGGCCGUGCGGGUUCGAGUCCCGCUCCGAGCA
rnacentral:tRNA from 1 species